rnacentral:rRNA from 1 species
GACGAACGCUGGCGGCGUGCUUAACACAUGCCAGUCGAACGGAAAGGCCCUGCUUUUGUGGGGUGCUCGAGUGGCGAACGGGUGAGUAACACGUGAGUAACCUGCCCUUGACUUUGGGAUAACUUCAGGAAACUGGGGCUAAUACCGGAUAGGAGCUCCUGCUGCAUGGUGGGGGUUGGAAAGUUUCGGCGGUUGGGGAUGGACUCGCGGCUUAUCAGCUUGUUGGUGGGGUAGUGGCUUACCAAGGCUUUGACGGGUAGCCGGCCUGAGAGGGUGACCGGCCACAUUGGGACUGAGAUAGGGCGCAGACUCCUACGGGAGGCAACAGUGGGGAAUAUUGCACAGUGGGCGGGAGCCUGAUGCAGCAACGCCGCGUGCGGGAUGACGGCCUUCGGGUUGUAAACCGCUUUCGCCUGUGACGAAGCGUGAGUGACGGUAAUGGGUAAAGAAGCACCGGCUAACUACGUG